rnacentral:tRNA from 1 species
AAGGGUAUAGCUCAGGGGUAGAGUGCAUGUUUAGCAUACACCAGGUCCUAGGUUCAACCCCGAGUACCUCUG